GAUGAACGCUGGCGGCGUGCUUAACACAUGCAAGUCGAACGGGGUACCCUUGACAGAGGCUUCGGCCAAUUGAUAGGAAUACCUAGUGGCGGACGGGUGAGUAACGCGUGAGGAACCUGCCUUGGAGUGGGGAAUAACAGUUAGAAAUAGCUGCUAAUACCGCAUAAUGCAACUAAGUCGCAUGGCUUUGGUUGCCAAAGAUUUAUCGCUCUAAGAUGGCCUCGCGUCUGAUUAGAUAGUUGGCGGGGUAACGGCCCACCAAGUCGACGAUCAGUAGCCGGACUGAGAGGUUGGCCGGCCACAUUGGGACUGAGACACGGCCCAG
rnacentral:rRNA from 1 species